rnacentral:rRNA from 1 species
GACGAACGCUGGCGGCGUGCUUAACACAUGCAAGUCGAACGGUGAAGGGACCGGUUUUUGCUGGUUCUGGAUGAGUGGCGAACGGGUGAGUAACACGUGAGUAACCUGCCCCCUUCUUCUGUAUAACCGCAUGAAAGUGUGGCUAAUACGGGAUAUUCUGCGCCUGCUGCAUGGUUGGUGUGGGAAAGUUAUUGUUUCGGCGGGGGAUGGGCUCGCGGCCUAUCUGCUUGUUGGUGGGGUGAUGGCCUACCAAGGCGGUGACUGGUAGCCCGCCCGGGAGGGUGGACGGUCCCGGUAGGGAGGAGCGGCCGAGCAGCCUCCUAGAGGCAGCAGUAGUGAAGAAUAUAGCACAGUGGGAGGCCGGCUGAAGCAGCGCCGCGGCGUGGAGGAUGGUCGCCGUCGGGUUAUACACCUCUUUCGCGAGUGAAGCAGGCCGGUCUCUUUUGUGGGUGGGUUGACGGUAGCUAGAUAAGAAGCGCCGGCUAACUACGUG